rnacentral:lncRNA from 1 species
CUGGGAGUGACCGGGUGAGGGAGAAGCUGGAGAGCAAAGCUUGGGCCGCCAGGAGCAGUGGGGCUCGAAGGAAAGGCGGAGCUUAAAAGUGACCAGGUGAGGGUAGAAGGGUACCGGGGGCGGCUUGGUGAGUGGGGGUAGAUCCAGGAAAUAGUGAGGCCGGGCGAUGGCGCGUUCCUGAGCGGGACCUGGGGUAACCAGGUAAGGGCAGAACUGGACAGACGGCUCUAGGGAAGUCGGGUUUAGUGGGUCAGAGCAGGAAAGAGCGGUGAAGUUUGGAAGCAGCCAGGUGACGGUAGGUGGGGCCUCAGCACAGCCGGUGGAGCGUGACUGGAGGGCCACAGAAGCCCAGGGUUGGCAAAGUGAGGGACCGAGGUCAGAGCUCAG